rnacentral:rRNA from 1 species
UACGGAGGAUGCGAGCGUUAUCCGGAUUUAUUGGGUUUAAAGGGUGCGUAGGCGGACUGUCAAGUCAGCGGUAAAAUUGAGAGGCUCAACCUCUUCCCGCCGUUGAAACUGGUGGUCUUGAGUGGAUGAGAAGUACGCGGAAUGCGUGGUGUAGCGGUGAAAUGCAUAGAUAUCACGCGGAACUCCGAUUGCGAAGGCAGCGUACCGGCAUCCAACUGACGCUGAGGCACGAAAGCGUGGGGAUCAAACAGG